AGCGAACGCUGGCGGCAGGCUUAACACAUGCAAGUCGAACGGUCCUUCGGGAUAGUGGCGGACGGGUGAGUAACACGUGGGAACGUACCCUUAGGUUCGGAACAACACAGGGAAACUUGUGCUAGUACCGGAUAAGCCCUUCGGGGGAAAGAUUUAUCGCCUUUGGAGCGGCCCGCGUCUGAUUAGCUUGUUGGUGAGGUAAUGGCUCACCAAGGCUACGAUCAGUAGCUGGUCUGAGAGGAUGGCCAGCCACACUGGGACUGGGACACGGCCCAGACUCCUACGGGAGGCAGCAGUGGGGAAUCUUGCGCAAUGGGCGAAAGCCUGACGCAGCCAUGCCGCGUGGAUGAUGAAGGUCUUAGGAUUGUAAAAUCCUUUCACCGGGGACGAUAAUGACGGUACCCGGAGAAGAAGCCCCGGCUAACUUCGUGCCAGCAGCCGCCGUAA
rnacentral:rRNA from 1 species